GCGCAAUUGGUGAAACGGUGAACACAACCGGCUGUGAACCGGUCAUGAACGGGUUCGACUCCCGUAUUGCGCCCCA
rnacentral:tRNA from 1 species